GCAGUGUUUAAGACACGCAUGUGGAGGCAGGAGCAGGAGAGUGCAGUGACCAAGUGUCUUGUUUCACAGAACUUCCCAUGCCAUCCUAACAAGUGCAGGAUGUCAUUUUUUCCUGUAUCUUAGGCCAAUGGUACAUAUUUUUCUCUCUUUAUCGGCCUUUCUCACUGGUUUGUUUUGCUUGCAUACUAUGCCUCAUAGUAUUAUGACGCUGACCAACACUGGGAAGAAAAGCUCAAGCAGUCUGCACCGCAUGUACCAAACCUUCUGAUGAUCUCAUCUAAUUGUUCUUUAAAAAAAGCACAACAAAACGUGAAAUUGUUGUGACUCAAGAAAAAGAAGAAACUGCUUUGGAGUCUCCUCACUAUUGAUUCUGCUGUCAGUGUGAAUUCCCUGCACCCCUGUGAUCCGGAGAUUCGCUUCGGCUCCUCUGCAAGUUAAAGAUGCCAUUUGUUUGCUCUCAAAGAUGAAUGCAAUGUCACAUCCCUUCCCUCCGAGGCUGUGGUGCUCCCCCAGCACCGUGGCGUUUCGUGCUGGCGUUGCUCACUGCGGGCUGCCGGUGUUGCUGCGGACAGAUAUGCGUGCAGAUCGAUGGGCGAGCAGCCAGCCCUGCUUGUGCUGAUGUAGUGCUCAGGAGCACCCUCCCCAGAUUUUAAUCCUCUGUGGCUAACUUUUCCUGUUCCUCUGUGGCAAUGCCAGAUAUGCCUGCUAUGACUUGAGGAGGUGGUACUCUUCCUGUUGCACAGAGAACAAAGUCUUUCUGGACUGAGCCGUGGUUCAGUUUUGUCAUCUGUUCUUAAGCUGAACCAUCACCACUUCAUGUUUUUUUUUUUUUUUUUAAUGUGGCAAGUUCAGUAAGAAUUGGGUAACAUGUGACUAAUCUCUAUACCCCAUUUAAAAUCCAUUCGAAAUAG